GCUGGGCGUGGUGGUACACACCUGUAGUCCCAGCAGCUCUGGAGGCUGAGGCAGGAGGAUCACAAGUUCAAAGCUAGCCUCAGCAAUUUAGUGAUGCCCUGAGUAACUUAGGGAGAACCUGUCUCUA
rnacentral:sRNA from 1 species